GGGACACGUGGUAUCCUGUCUGAAUAUGGGGGGACCAUCCUCCAAGGCUAAAUACUCCUGACUGACCGAUAGUGAACCAGUACCGUGAGGGAAAGGCGAAAAGAACCCCGGCGAGGGGAGUGAAAAAGAACCUGAAACCGUGUACGUACAAGCAGUGGGAGCACAGAGCAAUCUGUGUGACUGCGUACCUUUUGUAUAAUGGGUCAGCGACUUAUAUUCUGUAGCAAGGUUAACCGAAUAGGGGAGCCGAAGGGAAACCGAGUCUUAACUGGGCGUUAAGUUGCAGGGUAUAGACCCGAAACCCGGUGAUCUAGCCAUGGGCAGGUUGAAGGUUGGGUAACACUAACUGGAGGACCGAACCGACUAAUGUUGAAAAAUUAGCGGAUGACUUGUGGCUGGGGGUGAAAGGCCAAUCAAACCGGGAGAUAGCUGGUUCUCCCCGAAAGCUAUUUAGGUAGCGCCUCGUGAAUUCAUCUCCGGGGGUAGAGCACUGUUUCGGCAAGGGGGUCAUCCCGACUUACCAACCCGAUGCAAACUGCGAAUACCGGAGAAUGUUAUCACGGGAGACACACGGCGGGUGCUAACGUCCGUCGUGAAGAGGGAAACAACCCAGACCGCCAGCUAAGGUCCCAAAGUCAUGGUUAAGUGGGAAACGAUGUGGGAAGGCCCAGACAGCCAGGAUGUUGGCUUAGAAGCAGCCAUCAUUUAAAGAAAGCGUAAUAGCUCACUGGUCGAGUCGGCCUGCGCGGAAGAUGUAACGGGGCUAAACCAUGCACCGAAGCUGCGGCAGCGACGCUUAUGCGUUGUUGGGUAGGGGAGCGUUCUGUAAGCCUGUGAAGGUGUGCUGUGAGGCAUGCUGGAGGUAUCAGAAGUGCGAAUGCUGACAUAAGUAACGAUAAAGCGGGUGAAAAGCCCGCUCGCCGGAAGACCAAGGGUUCCUGUCCAACGUUAAUCGGGGCAGGGUGAGUCGACCCCUAAGGCGAGGCCGAAAGGCGUAGUCGAUGGGAAACAGGUUAAUAUUCCUGUACUUGGUGUUACUGCGAAGGGGGGACGGAGAAGGCUAUGUUGGCCGGGCGACGGUUGUCCCGGUUUAAGCGUGUAGGCUGGUUUUCCAGGCAAAUCCGGAAAAUCAAGGCUGAGGCGUGAUGACGAGGCACUACGGUGCUGAAGCAACAAAUGCCCUGCUUCCAGGAAAAGCCUCUAAGCAUCAGGUAACAUCAAAUCGUACCCCAAACCGACACAGGUGGUCAGGUAGAGAAUACCAAGGCGCUUGAGAGAACUCGGGUGAAGGAACUAGGCAAAAUGGUGCCGUAACUUCGGGAGAAGGCACGCUGAUAUGUAGGUGAAGUCCCUCGCGGAUGGAGCUGAAAUCAGUCGAAGAUACCAGCUGGCUGCAACUGUUUAUUAAAAACACAGCACUGUGCAAACACGAAAGUGGACGUAUACGGUGUGACGCCUGCCCGGUGCCGGAAGGUUAAUUGAUGGGGUCAGCGCAAGCGAAGCUCUUGAUCGAAGCCCCGGUAAACGGCGGCCGUAACUAUAACGGUCCUAAGGUAGCGAAAUUCCUUGUCGGGUAAGUUCCGACCUGCACGAAUGGCGUAAUGAUGGCCAGGCUGUCUCCACCCGAGACUCAGUGAAAUUGAACUCGCUGUGAAGAUGCAGUGUACCCGCGGCAAGACGGAAAGACCCCGUGAACCUUUACUAUAGCUUGACACUGAACAUUGAGCCUUGAUGUGUAGGAUAGGUGGGAGGCUUUGAAGUGUGGACGCCAGUCUGCAUGGAGCCGACCUUGAAAUACCACCCUUUAAUGUUU
rnacentral:rRNA from 1 species